CUCUUCAAAAAGUAUAGUACUUAAUAAAUACAGAGGGACAGUGGCACUUGAUAGGCAGUGAAGAUUUCAGGUCUUAGGGGCCAAACCGAGAUUUAAAUUAGUUGGGCAAAUGCUGAAUUUAAGAGGGAACAUCAGACUAAAAAUCCUACAAAAUUUCCGUUUAAUGGAAUUUGUUGGACCUACCUUUUCCAUAUGUAAUUGUUUGACCUACUUUUCUUUCAAGAAAGUUACUACUGACCACUAAGAAACUUAAAUAAGCUGAAACUUUCAUGACUUUAAGCUCGAUAAAAGAAAAAUUGGGACUUCUUGAGGAUUCGCCUGCUUUGAUCUCAGUGAAACAGAAGGAUCAUUGAUACUAGCUAGAAGAAUUGAUGUUAAGAAACGAUGUAAUAUUCCGGUGAGAGAAAUGGUAUUUCCAGCCAGAGUGACUUUUUGGGAUAAUUGGCAUAAUAUUGAUAGUUUUAUUGGAAAAAAAAAAUACCCAAGUGACUUUAAUAGAGCUAUUUGCACCAGUAAAACCAGUCACGAGUAGCAGCUAUAAAAUUAAUGGAAAUGACACCACUACUUAGGUGUCAUUUCUACUGUUUAAUAGAUAUAAUUCAAACAUGAUACAUUCCAAACAUUACUUAAUGCUCUUCAUAAUCAGCAUAUCUUCAGUCCCAGGUUACUCCUAUAAUUCAUUGGACGUAAUAUAUUACCACCUGCUAAUGAUGAUAAUAUAAUAUUCUUUGUGCUGCGUGCUUUUUAACUUUUGUUCUUGCCCAAGGCAUAAUUGAGCUAACUUUUCAUGAUGCCUCUAUAUUUUAGAUCGUGACAUCAAGAAGAACACGUCAUGUUCAGAUCCCAAAUUGCUCGUUUCCGUCUAUCGAAUCGCCAUAAAUAGUGGAGAUCAAUGGCAAAGAUUAUCCCUCACUUUAACUAAGCCUAUACACCAUUGACAUAGCACAAAAUGAGCAUCAACAACUUUCUUCCAUAUAAAUUGGCUUUCACUGCUCUACUCCUUCUCUUCAACUGGUCAGACUUCUUAGGCAUUCAAGCAAAUGCUGAUAGCAAUGUGAGUAGAUAUUAGAACACUCUAUUCUGCAAUUUAAUUUAUAAACACAUUAGUAUUUUGUUUCGCUCUAAAACUUAUAUCUGAAAUAAUUGUUAAAUGUAGGUUCAUAUCGUUUAUAUGGGAAGAAGGAAACACAAUGAUGUUGAACUCGCAACAUCAGCUCACCAUCAAUUACUUACUUCAGUACUGAAAAGUCAAGAAGCUGCACGAGAUUCAAUCAUCUAUAGUUACAAACAUGGUUUCUCCGGCUUUGCAGCCAAGUUAACGAAAUCCCAAGCCCAAAAGAUUGCAGAAUUACCUGAUGUGCUCCAUGUAGUUCCAAAUCACUUUUACAAGUUGCACACAACAAGAAGUUAGGAUCACCUUGGCCUGUCCACAUCUUCUCCUCCAACAAACCUCCUUCAUCAAGCCAACAUGGGAGAUGGUAUCAUCAUAGGUGUCCUUGAUUCAGGAAUAUGGCCAGAAAGUGAAGCAUUCAAUGACAAAGGCCUAGGGCCAAUACCUUCAAGAUGGAAGGGCCAUUGCAGUCUGGUACUAAAUUCGAUCCAGCUAAGGCAUCUAACAGGAAACUAAUUGGAGCAAAACACUUUCUAAAAGGUUUUGAAGCAGAGCUUGGACGGCCAACAACCAAGGAUGCAGAUUUUCUAAAUCUUGAGCUUGCAUCACCCAGGGAUAGAAAUGGACAUGGCACAAACACAUCAAGCACUGCAGGUGGAUCCUUCUCACCAAAUGCUAGUUACCACGGAUUUGCUUAUGGUACAUGUUAUACCCCAUUUUAAACGGGUCAAAGUAGAGUACAAUAUAUUGAUGAUUCCUAAAUUUAUUUAACUUAAGGAAUCGCCACCUAAUUAAUUUUAGAGGUGAAUUAGGACACCUAAUUUAUUAACUAAGGUAAAGCUAAAACUAAACCUCCGUUAAUGGUCCGCUUAACUAAUACGAUUCUAGGUAAGGGCUCUUGAUUAUCCUAAAGGGAAGGGGUUAGGCAUCCUUUAGAAUCCGUUAAUUACGG